GCCGCGGUACGUUGAUCGGCAUAUUGCGGCGUGGAGCGCGCGCAGGCGGUUUCUUAAGUCUGAUGUGAAAGCCCCCGGCUCAACCGAGCCGAGGGUCAUUGGUAACUGGGGAACUUGAGUGCAGAUGAGGAGAGUGGAAUUCCACGUGUAGCGGUGAAAUGCGUAGAGAUGUGGAGGAACACCAGUGGCGAAGGCGACUCUCUGGUCUGUAACUGACGCUGAGGCGCGAAAGCGUGGGGAGCGAACAGGAUUAGAUACCCUGGUAGUCCACGCCGUAAACGAUGAGUGCUAAGUGUUAGAGGGUUUCCGCCCUUUAGUGCUGCAGCAAACGCAUUAAGCACUCCGCCUGGGGAGUACGGUCGCAAGACUGAAACUCAACGGAAUUGACGGGGGCCCGCACAAGCGGUGGAGCAUGUGGUUUAAUUCGAAGCAACGCGAAGAACCUUACCAGGUCUUGACAUCCUCUGACAACCCUAGAGAUAGGGCUUCCCCUUCGGGGGCAGAGUGACAGGUGGUGCAUGGUUGUCGUCAGCUCGUGUCGUGAGAUGUUGGGUUAAGUCCCGCAACGAGCGCAACCCUUGAUCUUAGUUGCCAGCAUUCAGUUGGGCACUCUAAGGUGACUGCCGGUGACAAACCGGAGGAAGGUGGGGAUGACGUCAAAUCAUCAUGCAACUUAUGACCUGGGCUACACACGUGCUACAAUGGGCAGAACAAAGGGCAGCGAAGCCGCGAGGCUAAGCCAAUCCCACAAAUCUGUUCUCAGUUCGGAUCGCAGUCUGCAACUCGACUGCGUGAAGCUGGAAUCGCUAGUAAUCGCGGAUCAGCAUGCCCGGUGGAAUACCUUUUCCCGGGGCCUUGUACACACCGCCCGUCACACCACGAAGAGUUUGUAACACCCGAAGUCGGUGAGGUAACCUUUUGGAGCCAGCCGCCGAAGGUGGGACAGAUGAUUGGGUGAUCAACAAAAAACCCCCCCCAACAUACAAGGCCAAGGGAGGG
rnacentral:rRNA from 1 species